rnacentral:lncRNA from 1 species
CACCACUGCACUUCAGUCUAGGUGACAAAGUGAGACUCCAUCUCUAAAUAAAUAAAUAAAUAAAUAAAUAAAUCAGACUGGUCCAAGUGGUGUUUAUAACUAAUUGAUCACAACCAGUUACAGAUUUCUUUGUUCCUUCUCCAUUCUCACUGCUUCACUUGACUAGCCUUGAAGAAAUUGUAAAAUAUAUGUAAAAUAUAAAUAUGUAAUAAACCUAACUGAAGGAAAUUACACAAAGUUGUGGCUUUUUCUUCCAACUUUCAUUCUGGUAAAGUUUUACACAGGAGGUCUCAUUUUCUGUAAUUCAUGUUAACAUAUCCUUGAAAAAUUAUGCCAUUGUGUGAUAUAAAUGUAAAAAUGUGGCUUUGACUUUGCACUGUUAAUGUUUACAGGACAGUCAAAUUGUAUGUAGAAAUUAUAUUAUUUCAUAUUGAAGUUGAUUUGUACAAUAUGAUGUUCUAUUUUCAUUUGCACACAUUUGGCCCUUACUGAUUAAAUAAUUUCCCAAAUCAGCUUGAACUUAUCAUCUCUGUUUAUAGCUGAGGGUAACAACCAAAUUGUUUUUGAACUAAUUUACAUAGUAAGUAUAGUAGAAUUCCUCUUCUGUAUAAAGUAUCAGAUAUAAAUAUUAGUUCUAUUAAAUGCUAAAGAAUUUAGCAAUGUAAAUUACUUAUGUGAUCUGUAUGCA